rnacentral:rRNA from 1 species
GCUUGUCUCAAAGAUUAAGCCAUGCAUGUCUAAGUAUAACUCUUUUACUUUGAAAACUGCGAACGGCUCAUUAUAUCAGUUAUAGUUUCUUUGAUAGUCCCUUACUACUUGGAUACCCGUAGUAAUUCUAGAGCUAAUACAUGCAUCAAUCCCCGACUUCUGGAAGGGGUGUAUUUAUUAGAUGGAAACCAAUGCGGGGCAACCCGGAAUCUGGUGAAUCAUAAUAACUUUCGGAUCGAUCUUCGGAUCGAUGCAUCAUUCAAGUUUCUGCCCUAUCAGCUUUGGAUGGUAGGGUAUUGGCCUACCAUGGCUUUAACGGGUAACGGAGAAUUAGGGUUCGAUUCCGGAGAGGGAGCCUGAGAAACGGCUACCACAUCCAAGGAAGGCA